GCUGGGCAUGGUGGCGCGUGCCUGUAAUCCCAGCUACUCAGGAGGCUGAGGCGGGAGAAUUGCUUGAACCCAGGAGGCGGAGGCUGUGGUGAGCCAAGAUCGCGCCAUUGCACUCCAGCCUGGGUGACAGAGUGAGACUCUGUCUCAA
ensembl:misc_RNA Metazoa_SRP Metazoan signal recognition particle RNA